rnacentral:rRNA from 1 species
GACGAACGCUGGCGGCGUGCCUAAUACAUGCAAGUCGAGCGGAAUGAUGAAGAAGCUUGCUUCUUCUGAUUUUAGCGGCGGACGGGUGAGUAACACGUGGGCAACCUACCUUGUAGAUUGGGAUAACUCCGGGAAACCGGGGCUAAUACCGAAUAAUCCAUUUUGCUUCAUGGCGAGAUGUUGAAAGACGGUUUCGGCUGUCACUAUAAGAUGGGCCCGCGGCGCAUUAGCUAGUUGGUAGGGUAAUGGCCUACCAAGGCGACGAUGCGUAGCCGACCUGAGAGGGUGAUCGGCCACACUGGGACUGAGACACGGCCCAGACUCCUACGGGAGGCAGCAGUAGGGAAUCUUCCACAGUGGACGAAAGUCUGAUGGAGCAACGCCGCGUGAGUGAAGAAGGUUUUCGGAUCGUAAAACUCUGUUGUAAGGGAAGAACACGUACGAGAGUAACUGCUCGUACCUUGACGGUACCUUAUUAGAAAGCCACGGCUAACUACGUG